GAUUUAUGGAAGCUGUAAGCAUUCAAGUGCAGCUUGUUAUACCUAAGUCCUGUGUUAGUCCUCAUCUUCAGUUUCCUCCUACUCUGCUUCCAGCUGCCAGCACAAAAGUGCUUCAGCGCUGUUAGCAUUAUAAUUCAAAUAAAUUAUUCAAAUCUUUAAAUUGUAACAGCAUGCCCACCGGAAUAUCCACCGUGGGUACUUAGUCACCCAUUAGCAUCCAUCAAGAUUAAGGAACUACAUCCGAAAUGUGCGCACAGUCCUUUUCUUGCACUCAACAUUUUUGCACUACUCAUUGCUGAAUCAGUGCCAUCUAAAUCGCCUCUACGCUCUCUGUCAUCUUUGGGAACCCCCCACCCUCCCCAAGACCAACUCUCCCAAACCAACUCCCACUUAAAAGCUUUUCCUUGUCAGAUAAUUCAUUUGCAGCUCACUGUUCAUGUAGUAAGAAGUCUUGGAAAUCGAUUUUGUUUCCUUUGUACUAUUUUUCUUCCCCCAAUCUGUUCUAUCCUUAUAGGUGUCUCCAUAGGAAUUGGCAAAGGAGUGUCCACUCGCCCCCUGCUUCCUUGCCAGGGGCACAGGUCCCCGAUAAAGGAGAAAGCCUGGUGUGGAAGAAGAAAUGUAGUUGAUUUACGAAGGCAUGACAAAUCCUGCAAGCGAAAAUUGUGCUUGGGAAACAGCCUUCCAACAUCAAAAAUAACAUGAUUUUAUAGGAACAAGAUUUUGGAGGAUCUUUUGUCAUAUAUACACAUAUUUUUCCACAUCUUAGUUUUGCGUUUCUACUGUGCAUUUAGCAAAGUCAGAAUCGAAGUAGCAAUAGCAAGAGUCUCUAGAACCUAAUGGAAAAAUUGACUUUUCGUAAGAGUACAUGCUGAAGCAACAGUAAGUCUGCUAGAAUCCGGCAUUUAACUUUCAUACUAUAGUGCUUAGUCAAAGGUUAACAUUCUUUAAUUAAGUACAGAUAUUUUAGGCCUUUGCAUGGAAUUCAGCUUACACUAGGGGUGUGCUAAUGUGAUCUCCUCUUUAUCAUUUUUGAAGAAUUCUCUUUAUAUCCCAAUAAUAAAUUGAUUACAUUCAA